GAUGAACGCUGGCGGCGUGCCUAAUACAUGCAAGUCGAGCGAACAGAUAAGGAGCUUGCUCCUUUGACGUUAGCGGCGGACGGGUGAGUAACACGUGGGUAACCUACCUAUAAGACUGGAAUAACUCCGGGAAACCGGGGCUAAUGCCGGAUAACAUUUAGAACCGCAUGGUUCUAAAGUGAAAGAUGGUUUUGCUAUCACUUAUAGAUGGACCCGCGCCGUAUUAGCUAGUUGGUAAGGUAACGGCUUACCAAGGCAACGAUACGUAGCCGCCCUGAGAGGGGGAUCGGCCAAUGGGGAACUGGGACGAGGACCAACACCCGAGGGGAGGCAAGGGGGGGAAUUCUGCGGGAGUGGGCAGAAGCCAAGAGGGGAAAAGGGGCGAGAGUGAGAAAGAGCUGCGGCGCGUAAAACUUGUUUUUUGGGGAAGAACAAAGUUGUAAUAAACGGGACGAUAUUGACGGGACCCGAAGAAGAAGCCCCGGCCAAACCAGGG
rnacentral:rRNA from 1 species